rnacentral:rRNA from 1 species
GUCCUAUUGAAGUUUUAAUAGGUCUNNNNNUGCCCACUGAAAACUUAAAGGGCCGCGGUAUCUUGACCGUGCGAAGGUAGCAUAAUCACUAGUUUUUUAAUUGAAGGCUUGUAUGAAUGGUCGGACAAGAAAUAAGCUGUCUUUAUAAGAUUUGUUGAAUUUAACAUUUGAGUAAAAAGGCUUAGAUAAAUUAAAGGGACGAUAAGACCCUAUAAAGCUUUAUAAUUUCUUUAAUUUCUUAAAGAUAGGUUGUAAAAAUUAAUUUAUUCGAGAGAUUAUUAUGUUGGGGCGACAAGAGUAAAAUUUAUUAUCUGCUUUAUUUUUAUAACAAUGAUUUUUGUAUAUUUAAAUGAUCCUAAUUAUAGAUUAUAAGUUUAAGUUACUUUAGGGAUAACAGCGUAAUUCUUUUUGAGAGUUCUUAUCGAGAAAAGAGUUUGCGACCUCGAUGUUGAAUUAAGUUGUCUUCUUAUGUGCAGCAGCUAAGAUAGAUGGUCUGUUCGACCUUUAAAAAUUUACAUGAUUUGAGUUCAAACCGGCGUGAG